AUUAGGCUGAUGCAAAAGUAAGUGUGGUUUUUCACAUUACUUUUUAAUGGCAAAAACUGCAGUUACUUUUGCACCAA
ensembl:miRNA